GACCUGCCCAGUGACUUCGGUUAAACGGCUGCAGUAUUCUGACUGUGCAAAGGUAGCAUAAUCAUUGGCCUGUUAAUUUCAGGCUGGAAUCAACGGUUUGACGAUAGAGAUACUGUCUCUUUUUAUAAAAUUUUGAAUUUAUUUUCAAGGUGAAGAAACCUUGAUUAAAUAACGGGACGAGAAGACCCUAUUGAGCUUUAAUUUUCUUAAUAUAUUAAAAAUUAUUUUGUAGAUUUGAGUUGGGGCAACUGGCUUUACUAUUAAACAAAGCUUUUACAUAAAAAAAUUUCGAGAUUGUAUUUAGACCCACAGAGUUUGUGAUCAAAGGAAAAAGUUACCUUAGGGAUAACAGCGUAAUUUCUUUUGAGAGUACAUAUUGACAGAGAAGUUUGCGACCUCGAUGUUGGAUCAAGAUUUCCUGGGGGUGUAGCGGUUCCUGAGGGUUGGUUUGUUCAACCAUAAAAAUCUU
rnacentral:rRNA from 1 species